AUUGAACGCUAGCGGGAUGCCUUACACAUGCAAGUCGAACGGAGUGGCGAACGGGUGAGUAAUGUAUCGGAGCGUGCCCAGUAGCGGGGGAUAACUACGCGAAAGCGUAGCUAAUACCGCAUACGAUUUGAUCGGCCGAUAUCGGAUUAUCUAGUUGGUGGGGUAACGUCUCACCAAGGCGACGAUCCGUAGCUGGUUUGAGAGGACGACCAGCCACACUGGGACUGAGACACGGCCCAGACUCCUACGGGAGGCAGAAGUGGGGAAUGUUGGACAAUGGGGGAAACCCUGAUCCAGCAAUCCCGCGUGUGCGAUGAAGGCCUUCGGGUUGUAAAGCACUUUUGGCAGGAAAGCGGUACCUGAAGAAUAAGCACCGGCUAACUACGUGCCAGCGGCCGCGGUAAUUC
rnacentral:rRNA from 1 species